CGAACGCUGAAGCCCUGGUGCUUGCACCGGGGUGGAUGAGUGGCGCACGGGUGAGUAACACGUGAGUAACCUGCCCCCGACUUCGGGAUAAGCCCGGGAAACUGGGUCUAAUACCGGAUAUGACCAUGACUCGCAUGAGUGAUGGUGGAAAGUUUUUUCGGUUGGGGAUGGGCUCGCGGCCUAUCAGUUUGUUGGUGAGGUAAUGGCUCACCAAGACGACGACGGGUAGCCGGCCUGAGAGGGCGACCGGCCACACUGGGACUGAGACACGGCCCAGACUCCUACGGGAGGCAGCAGUGGGGAAUAUUGCACAAUGGGGGAAACCCUGAUGCAGCGACGCAGCGUGCGGGAUGACGGCCUUCGGGUUGUAAACCGCUUUCAGCAGGGAAGAAGCCCUUCGGGGUGACGGUACCUGCAGAAGAAGUACCGGCUAACUACGUGCCAGCAGCCGCGGUAAUACGUAGGGUACAAGCGUUGUCCGGAAUUAUUGGGCGUAAAGAGCUCGUAGGUGGUUGGUCACGUCUGCUGUGGAAACGCAACGCUUAACGUUGCGCGUGCAGUGGGUACGGGCUGACUAGAGUGCAGUAGGGGAGUCUGGAAUUCCUGGUGUAGCGGUGAAAUGCGCASAUAUCAGGAGGAACACCGGUGGCGAAGGCGGGACUCUGGGCUGUAACUGACACUGAGGAGCGAAAGCAUGGGGAGCGAACAGGAUUAGAUACCCUGGUAGUCCAUGCCGUAAACGUUGGGCACUAGGUGUGGGGGACAUUCCACGUUCUCCGCGCCGUAGCUAACGCAUUAAGUGCCCCG
rnacentral:rRNA from 1 species